rnacentral:misc_RNA from 1 species
GAUGAAGAACGUAGCGAACUGCGAUAAGUAAUGUGAAUUGCAGAAUUCAGUGAAUCAUCGAGUCUUUGAACGCACAUUGCGCCCCCUGGCAUUCCGGGGGGCAUGCCUGUCCGAGCGUCAUUGCUGCCAUUCAAGCCCGGCUUGUGUGUUGGGUCGUCGUCCCCCCCGGGGGACGGGCCCGAAAGGCAGCGGCGGCACCGCGUCCGGUCCUCGAGCGUAUGGGGCUUUGUCACCCGCUCGAUUAGGGCCGGCCGGGCGCCAGCCGGCGUCUCCAACCUUCUAUUUUACCAGGUUGACCUCGGAUCAGGUAGGGAUACCCGCUGAACUUAAGCAUAUCAAUAAGCGGAGGA